UACGUAGGGUGCGAGCGUUGUCCGGAAUUAUUGGGCGUAAAGGGCUCGUAGGCGGUUUGUCGCGUCGGGAGUGAAAACCUUGGGCUUAACUCAGGGCUUGCUUUCGAUACGGGCAGACUAGAGGUACGCAGGGGAGAACGGAAUUCCUGGUGUAGCGGUGAAAUGCGCAGAUAUCAGGAGGAACACCGGUGGCGAAGGCGGUUCUCUGGGCAUGAUCUGACGCUGAGGAGCGAAAGUGUGGGGAGCGAACAGG
rnacentral:rRNA from 1 species